AUGAAAGAAGAUCAAGAGCUAGAUUUCAAAAAGGAAGCUGCUGCCAACACUUUGGACAAUUAUUCAAAAUUUGUGAUUGCAAGGGUUGGAAGUAGGACUCGACCAUGUGAUUUGAGGUUACAUUUAAUGAAGGAGAUUUCAGGUAUGCCAACUUCUCUAAAUAGGGAAACAGCUCAUGCCGCCGCAUCUCCUGAGACAAUGGGCGAGUCAUCCAGCUCAGGAACAGCGAGACUGGAUAAAGCAGACAGUUUUCGGGCAGUGUAG